CCUACGGGUGGCAGCAGUGGGGGAUAUUGCACAAUGGGGGGAACCCUGAUGCAGCGACGCCGCGUGGGUGAAGAAGCGCCUCGGCGCGUAAAGCCCUGUUAGUAGGGAAGAAAAUGCCGGUACCUGACGAAGAAGCCCCGGCUAACUACGUGCCAGCAGCCGCGGGAAUACGUAGGGGGCCAGCGUUAUCCGGAUUUACGGGGUGUAAAGGGGGCGCAGUCGGCGAUGCAAGCCAGGAGUGAAAGCCCGGGGGCCAACCCCGGGACUGCUCUUGAAACUGGGUGGCUGGAGUGCAGGAGGGGCAGGCGGAAUUCCUGGUGUAGCGGUGAAAUGCGUAGAUAUCAGGAAGAACACCGGUGGCGAAGGCGGCCUGCUGGACUGCAACUGACGUUGAGGCACGAAAGCGUGGGGAGCGAACAGGAUUAGAUACCCCUGUAGUC
rnacentral:rRNA from 1 species